rnacentral:lncRNA from 1 species
UUAUGAUUUGAAUUAAAUGGCUUGUGAUAAAUUAGCAUGAUUGACUGAAUUUAUACUUGUGUUGAAAAAUAUGAACUGUCUGUUUUGCCUUGAUAAAUUGGUUAGUAAUGUAAUUGCCAUGCUAUGCCAUUGAAAUUUGAUCAAUUGGUGGAUUAAAGAUUAGCUACUGCAGUGGCGGGGUUCCGUGGACCAACCUAUUAGAGGGGCACGGUAAACUCCUUUAUAUUCUCA